rnacentral:rRNA from 1 species
GACGACCGCUGGCGGCGUGCCUAAUACAUGCAAGUUGAGCGCUGAAGGUUGGUACUUGUACCAACUGGAUGAGCAGCGAACGGGUGAGUAACGCGUGGGGAAUCUGCCUUUGAGCGGGGGACAACAUUUGGAAACGAAUGCUAAUACCGCAUAAAAACUUUAAACACAAGUUUUAAGUUUGAAAGAUGCAAUUGCAUCACUCAAAGAUGAUCCCGCGUUGUAUUAGCUAGUUGGUGAGGUAAAGGCUCACCAAGGCGAUGAUACAUAGCCGACCUGAGAGGGUGAUCGGCCACAUUGGGACUGAGACACGGCCCAAACUCCUACGGGAGGCAGCAGUAGGGAAUCUUCGGCAAUGGACGAAAGUCUGACCGAGCAACGCCGCGUGAGUGAAGAAGGUUUUCGGAUCGUAAAACUCUGUUGGUAGAGAAGAACGUUGGUGAGAGUGGAAAGCUCAUCAAGUGACGGUAACUACCCAGAAAGGGACGGCUAACUACGUG